rnacentral:rRNA from 1 species
CUGGCGGCGUGCCUAAUACAUGCAAGUCGAACGGUCUUUCUAUGGAAGCUUGCUUCCACUGAGAAGAUAGUGGCGAACGGGUGAGUAACACGUGGGUAACCUGCCCAUAAGAGGGGGAUAACAUCCGGAAACGGGUGCUAGUACCGCAUAGUUUUCUUGAUCGCAUGAUCGGGAAAGGAAAGACGGCCUUUGUGCUGUCGCUUAUGGAUGGACCCGCGGCGUAUUAGUUAGUUGGUGAGGUAACGGCUCACCAAGACGAUGAUACGUAGCCGACCUGAGAGGGUGAUCGGCCACAUUGGGACUGAGACACGGCCCAAACUCCUACGGGAGGCAGCAGUAGGGAAUCUUCCGCAAUGGACGAAAGUCUGACGGAGCAACGCCGCGUGAGUGAAAGAAGGUUUUCGGAUCGUAAAACUCUGUUGUCAGAGAAGAACAAGUUGGAGAGUAACUGCUCCAGCCUUGACGGUAUCUGACCAGAAAGCCACGGCUAACUACGUGCCAGCCGCCGC